AGGUUCUUGUUGGAGAAGCAGGGUACGUGCAAAAUGCACACCGGUUGGUCGAGCUAAUUAACAAGCUCUGACGACCAUGGUGAUCGAAUGCACGUGCUCCCCUUCUCCACCAUGGCCUU
rnacentral:pre_miRNA from 19 species